CACAAUAUUUCUUAACAUACUUAAGUACACUUUUUAAAAAUGCACUUUGUCUAAUUUAGUUUUACUUAAAUGUAACCCUGGUUAAAUAAUUAAAUAUUAUUAUUUUAAAAGUGUGCUUAAAAAUAAUAGAGACUAUUCAUACAUUUACAUUUAUUUUAUAAAUGAGGAAAUACAUGUGAAUAAUUCAAUCUGAAUUAUAAAUCUGAAAUGAGUAAACCAAUCGGAGUGUUUAAUUGUAAGCUCCGCCCCUUUUUUGCUUUCGGAUCGCGUCUCAGUUCAGAGGAGAGAUGCAGAGCGACAGAGACACUCUAUCUAACGCGAGAGUGUUUAAUUUGAUUAAAUAUGACUCCUAAGUUCAUAUAAACUGAAGAAAUCAGAAUUUAACUUGCAUAUAUUCAAUGAUACAGCGUGAUUGUGUGGAUUGAGCACUUUUUGAGCUUUCAUUUUGACCUGUGUGAUUAUGUAAAACCACAUGGUGCGUUGUGUUCGCUGCCGUCGCUGACGCCAUUUUGGUUGCACGUGCCUGUGAAAGACAAAAAGAGAGAGAAACACGUGAAUGGACAGGUAUUUGUCUAAAUUGUCAUUUAUUAUGAUGAUGGCACUUAUGUAUGUAUUUUAUUUGUUUCCUGUAUUGUGUACAAUUGUUCAUCAUUAUUGAUACACAAUAUUGAAUGUUUUUUCCUUUCGUAUGAACAUUCCUUGAGCUGGAUUUUCCUAAUUGAUGGCGAGCCUCCCAUUUCGACCUGAUUGGAUCACGAAUCUAGAGGAAAGGACAAAUUUCUAUUUUAAAUAUUUUUCUUCAGACAAGUAAGAGGAUACAUUUCAGAAACUGUUUCCUUAUUUUGUUUGUUUACUUCAUUGAACUGAAACAUUUCAGAAGCACAAAUCUGAUAAUUUAAGACUGAUCAAUACUCCAAUUGAUAAGAACUUUGAACUUGAAUACGGAUUUCAGUGUGUUACAUAUAUAAUUUGUACCAUCUUUGUACAUUGAUUGUGACUGUGAUUUCUGUAAAUGAGAAGUAAUUUAGAGGGUGCACCCAUAGUAUAUAUCCCCCUUCUUUAAAUCUUACCCUGGAGGUCCGGAGCACUACAGAGUUAAUGCUGCGUUCCAGAGCCCAUCCAAACCAGUGGGAUGUAGGACUUAUCCUACCUCCAACUAGGAAAAGUGCACUGGAAUGCCUGUCGAAGUGGAACCUCCUACCAGCGAACUCGGGGGAGUUCGACCUACCCCGACUUCAGAAAAAUAAGUCGGAGGACAAUGGCGGCGCCCAUAGAUCGCGUCGUCAUGAGAGGAAAUCUUCAAGGAAUAGACUAUAAAUUGUACUUCUCUGCUUGUAUGGUUGUUUUAGACACUGUAAAUUUUAACACAACUUGUUUUUUUAUAUUAUGGCGUGAAAUUAUGUCGUUAUUAUCUGUUAUCAUGAAAAUACGGUAAAAAUAUACCAAGUUACUUAGCGACAUGCAGCGCUUUUAUAUAAUGGCUCCAGAACACUUUGUAAAGAUGAUUAACUUGUUGUUUUACUGUAGUGUGAACUGCACAGUUCGGACCGACGUUUAAAAGUUAUGUAGUCUGUACGAGCCUUAAGAAGACCGGUCGGUCGUCCAUGUUUUCUGUUUACGUUCCACUUCAAAUGUCUGGAACGCUUUGAAGUAGGAGCUAGGACACUUCAAGAAGGAUAAAUCCCACGUCCCACUGGUUUGGGUGGGCUCUGGAACGCAGCAUUAGCUCCAACCCUGAUCAAACACACCUGAGCAAGCUAAUCAAGGUCUUCAUGAUCACUAGGAAAUCACAGGUGGGUAAGUUUGAUUAGGGUUGGAGCUAAAGGCUGUUUCUCAAUUCCAAGAACGCAAAGAACGGUCUUGCGUCCUCGUGGAGAUCGGUCUUGCCAGGCGACCUUGGAAGAACGAACUCGGAAGUUUUGCCGCAAUGACUUCUGGGGCGUAAAGCGAUUUCAGCAAGUCUGCACUCGAUGCAUCCUCGAUAUCAAGAACACAUCCGGGUAUUUUCAUGCGUCCUCUGUCCUUGCGUUCUUGAGAAUUGGAAUGAACUUCGACCGUUAAUGAUGACGUAGAGCGAGGACACGAGGACGCAAGAUCGCUGAAGAACGCAUAUUGAGAAACAGCCAAACUCUGUAGUGCUCUGGACCUCCAGGGUAAGAUUUGAGGAACCCUGGUAUAUAUAGUUAAUUGUAUUUUCAUUGUUGUUUACUAUUUUUUUGUGAUUAAGGAACGAAAAAGAAAGGUUUCUCAAUACUCAAAGUAAAAUAAUUUAUUCAUCAACUUACCUUCUGUCUCUGCUUGUUGCUCACUAUCACUGCUACCUCCUCCUUCGUACCGUGCACCCUUCUGAUCUUAUUAUUAUGCCUGGUCCAUAAGUAAGUGAGUUAAUACCCGCUACAUAAAGAAAGUACACUUUCAUGGCAAUAUUUCUAAACGCAUUUAAUAAAUGAUCAUUAGACUGAUGUGACCUACCAAAGACUUGUUAAUUUAAAGUUCAUGCAGUUCUUUUUUAGUUGUCUGUUAAAAUGUUAAAAAAGAAUAACUUUGAGUUUCUUUUUGAUGUAUAUUGAUGUAAUUAUUCAAUAUUGAUAGUUGUUUGAUUCCAAUUUAACAAUAUUAAAAUGAGUUUUUUUUUGUUUGGACAUAUACAACUCAUAAUUAAUUUAUUAAAUGUACUUUUGCAAAACAAAAAAUCUGACUACCAAACUGUUUUAUUGUCAGUGUAAGCAUUGUGGUUUUUGUUUGUUUGCAAUGCAUUAAACUGAAAUGAAUACAUAUUUAAUUAACUUUUUGUUUUGAUUUGUUUUUCAGUAUUUUGAGAAGUACAUAACCAUAUUUCACAUACAAUAGAAGUAGUUAAAGUACAUACUGUAGAGAGAUGCAUUGAAAUCACUUCACUGCACUGAAAUCACAGUUCAACUGAUUGAAUUUAAUUUUGUAUAUUUGAAUUUAUUUGGCAAACUUGUAUUUGAAACAUUACAUUUAAUAAGUAAUUAAAUGUACUGUUAAUAUACAUUAACUUAUUUUUAAUUUCACAUUAAUUGCUUGACAGUAGAUUGAACAGUGCACUUUAAGUAUAUUAUAAAAACACUAGAAGUAAUUAUGAAAGUAGAUAUAAAGUUGUAAUAAAGUACCAAUUAAGUUGUUCCAAAAAAUCACUCUUAAUGGCAACUUAUUACAUUUUAUUUCAACUUAAUAUAUGAUAUAUGUGAAAUUAAUUACACUUAAUGUGCAUUCAGUGCGCCGAAAAGAUUGCAUUUAAUUCACACUUAAGAGUAUUGUUAACAGACAUUAAAGUGCAUUUUAAAUCACAUUAAUUGCAUGUUAUUAUAUUGUGUAGUGCACUUUAAGUAUAUUGUAAAAACACUAGAAGCAAUUAUGAAAGUAGAUAUAAAGUUGUAAUAAAGUACCAAUUAAGUUGUUCCAAAAAAUCACUCUUAAUGGCAACUUAUUAAAUUUUAUUUCAACUUAAUAUAUCAUGUAUUUGAAAUUAAUUGCAUUUAAUGUGCAUUCAGUGCGCCGAAAAGAUUGCAUUUAAUUCACACUUAAGUGUAUAUACUUGCAGUGUAUUAUUUAUGUAAUAAGUACACUUUAUAAAAGUACACUUAAGCACACUUUUUUUUCACAAGGGCUGGAGUCAAUUAUUCUGCUUAUACCACAGUUACCACAAACAUUGCUUUGGGUAUUUUAAGACAUUUGACAGGUUAGGUGUGCGUUUUACAAAAAGAAUCAUUUGGAUAUGGGAAUGUGUGCUGGCACCCAAAGUGGCUAGUUUAAAUAGCUUGGUCAUUCAUUAUUACAUAUCAAUUUGUCACCCUGACUUUCAACUAGUUUGUGUACCUGGAGUAGAGAAAGCAGAAGAUUAACUUUUUAAUGCUCCAUGAAUCUUGAAAAACCUUUAGUUUAAAAGUAAACCUUUAUUGUCUACAAUCAUUAUAAAGAUGCCUGUUGGUGUGAUGUAAUUUGAAACUAACAGAAAAAAGGAGCUUCAAGCAGCCACAAACGGAGAGUUCUUUUGAACAGAUAUUGCUUGCAAGUAUUGGCCAUACCUUGAGAAGGCGUCAGUCUCCAUGUUGGAACUCAGACCUUUACUGCAGAUGAGACCUUUCCUUUCUGUCAUGCAUGCCAAGGCUCAUUCAACCAAGUGUCAGGUAAUGCAUAUUCUUUAUCGUACCAUUUGAAACUGUAUUUGUAUUACUUAUUAAUACACUGUAACUGUUUAUGGUUGUAAUAUAGGUGUCACACAUUUGUUAGAUAAUCUGGCAAAAAUCAGGAAGGUGCUGGUACAACUGCAGUUGAGGGGGUCAAAAUGGUCAACAGCUAUCUGUCUCGUUGUGGCCUCACAACCAAAAAGGCUGAGUCUCAGAGACGGGAAGAUUUUAGCAGUGAACUGGGAUGUUCUGAGAACAUUGUGAAUCAGUGGGUACAAGAUGUCAGACAAAAGGCUACUGAUGGAUUUGGUAGGUACCAGUGCCCGGUUGCAUGAAACUCCUUAAGUGAGGGUUUCCCUGAGGGAGAAAAAAUCCCUGAGGUAAGGGAUUUAUUUAAGAGCGUUGCAACAAAGGUCUUAACUGUCACCCUUACCUAAGUGUUUAUACUAAGUAUUUUACGGCAGUCUAUGCCAAAACACGGCAGCAGAGACGCGGUUGCUGUAGUUACAAAAUCUCACAGCGGUAACAAAUCAACGCACGCAGCUCAACAGACGGUGGAUUUGUGUACAAUGAAACAUCGCAAAUAACAGACUGUAAAGUGCCGCAUGUAUAAAACCUCAAAGUAAUUCAAACUGGAAACACUUUAGAUUGACGGACGAUCAAACCGCUAUUCUCCUAAUAAAUACGCAUCACUUUUCUCUAGGGAUUAUUUCGAUCGUCAGAAAUGCGCGUUGGUACUUCAUUUUCUUAAAUAACCAUACAAUCAGCCAUCGCGUGUGACGUUAAGGGACCUGUUAUAGUCCCUUAAGUUUUUAAGGGAAAAUUGGACUUAAGGACUUUGUUGCAACGCAUAGCAGAACUUAAGGUAAUACUUUAGCAUUUAAGGGUAAAUACUUAUUGACAGCCUUAAGGUUCACUUAAGGGUUUUUCUUGCAACCCAUUUUUUAUUAAGGGCACCCUUAACCUUAUAUUUAAGGGAUUUCUUAGCUUAAGGACUUUCAUGCAACCGGGCACAGAUGUGAUGACCUACACAACCUUCAGAAAUGAAUUGAACAAAUGUUUCUUAGUCUUCAUCGAAAAGCCAGCCUUUAUAAUCACACUGAAUCCAGCAACACCCUCACCAAGAAGAUUUUUUUGAUGUAUACAUGUCAAAAGUGUGCCUUCAAGAAGCAAAGAUCAUUGUGAUGAGGGAGAUGAGACACCACUGCACCGCACCUAUCUCAGAAGCCUGGCUAGGAACAUCAGGAAAAUGAUUUCAGAAAUGUCUUCAGGCAAAAACAGUGGCAGUUUAAGUGAAGAGUGUCAUCGCUGGCUACUGUGUCGUCUUCAGAAAAGGCUUGCACAUGUAGAGAAGAAGUUCUAAGUUUGCUCAAGUUACAGCCAGGCUUUAGGACAGUGUUCUUCACUCCCAACCCUGGAGAGCCGGUGUCCUGCAGACUUUAGCUUUAACCUUAAUCGAACACAUCUGAAAGCUAAUCAAUGUCUUCAUGAUCUCUAGAAAAUCACAGGUAUGCGUGUUUGAUUAAGGUUGGAGCUAAGCUCCGCAGGACACCGGCUCUCCAGGAUAGAGAGUGAAGAACACUGCUUUAAGACCAAAUGCUGUUUCUCUGCUGGAGGAUGAGCCUGAGGAGAUACUGGAGGACCACGAAGAGCUGGAUUAUGAGAGUUCAGAUGACAUUUUGGAUUUGGAACUCUGAACUGGUGUAUGCAUUUAGACUGUGUGUCACACUGAACUGCAGGUGUGUUUCAUGGAAAACAUAAAACUAUUUGGAAAUGUAAUGGAUGUCUGAUACAGUGCUUUUAUUUUAGACAACCGUUUCCUGCAGUGUGUAAGCAACAUUAGCCUCAUAGAUUGAUGGGAAACUACUGUUAAAUAAGUUUUUGUAUGAUAAUCCAUAUCUCCGUUUACAAGCAGCAGGUUAGCUAUUAGGUUUCCCCUCCACCUCCGAUGUUUCACAGACUACUCCUACAGUCAACUGUGUUGCUACAACUUGCAAAUGCCACAAUUCUCUUGCAGUGGUUACUUCACCAAACUGUGCCCAGAUCAUCUUGUCAACAUAAUGACAUUUACUGUAGAAAAAUGUGCAAAUCUAUUUUGCCUGUGUUACAUAUGUUACUAUUAUUGUUAUAUAGUUUUAUACUGUAUCAAGUUUUUUUCACAGUGAUUGUGGAAACUUUUGGAGUGAACUAACUGUAUGUCAUUAGAUGAAAUACUUUACAUAAAUGACUGAUCAAUAGCCUACCCAUAUUUGAUGCAUGAGUUAAUACUGUUGUUACCUUUUCAAUGAAAGGAAAUGUUUUACAAUGCCAUUUUCUUGAGGUAACUAUUAAACUGUUUCAUAUAUGUACCUGCAAAAUUGUUUACUUUUCCCUGUUUUGAAAAUGAGAUGUAAAACUGCUUUAUUUAUUUAUGCCUUAAAAAUAUAUGAUAGUUUAAUACAGGGUAAAUAAUAAAAACUUGUUAAUUAGUUAGUAUAUACAGUUGUUUUGUAUUAUUUAUGGCAUAGUUGUUAUAAUUAAUACAAGUUUUUCAUUACACUGCUGCAUAACUUUGCUCUAGAUAAUAGUAGGGUAUUAACAUUAGACAGUUCAAAGAUGAUUAACUUUUAAGUUAUGUAUACUAUCAAUACAUAUAUUUACAUAUAGUAUGUGUGAAUGCUUUUGGUCUUUGAUUAAAUGCUUGUCAGCACGGGAAAAUGCUUUGUAAAUAAAGUUAUUUUUAUUAUUUGCUGUGUUUUCUGUAUUAAAACCUAAAAGUUAGACAUACUAAACUUAACCCAAAGAAAAUGAAUACAAUAGGAUAAUUGGAGACCCUAAAAUUUCUCUGGAGUGUUGUUUCUAUUAGUAAAUCAGUGAUGGUGACCAAUCCGACUUGAGGGUGUAGCAUACACCGCGUAGCCCAACCAAACAGAUAAGCAAUGGUUGGAUAGAAAUAAAUAGCCAGCCCCUAACAUUUAGUGCCUAAAUUUCAAUCUGAAACACAAUUAUAAAUAAUGACAUUUUAAAUGAUUUCUUAGCAAUAUCAGUAUAUUUUUCCCCCAAUACGUUUAACUUAGGCCUAUAUGUGUCUGUGGUCAGGCUGUUAGCUUAGCAACUAGCAUGAACUCGUUUGAAUUCUUACAAUAUGUUUUAUUGUUUGGCAAUAGCAUGUCUGUUAGAAAGUCACUUUAUACUAUAGUUCUUUUGAAAAGAUGUAAACAAUAUAGGCUACUGGUCCAGAGGCACUUCCUGUUUCAUUUUGUGACUGUUAUUUCACACAUAGGCUAUAUCAUUAUCUUUAAGAUGUUUGUUUAACUUUUUGACUCAGUUCUAUAUGUUCUGUUGGUUGUAAUUUAUCCCAACAUUUAUCUAGUGUUAAAAAACUGAAACAGGAAGUGCUUCUGGACCACUGUUUACAUCUUUUGAAAUAGUUUGCAAACCUAAGAACUACAUAUUUAACAGUCUAUAUUACACUGCCACAGGGAAAUUAUUUGUAUAGUGUUUUUCAUGUCUGGAAUAUUAAACCCUAAUGGAAAAAACAGCAUCGACCAGCAUAAUUCCCAUGCUGGUUUGGUGCUUGUGUGACAGGAUUGGCAAAGCCCGUCCUGCUCUUGGAUUGGUUGGUCGUUGUGUUCAUUGAUCAGCCUAUCACUGGGCAGGGGGAUGUAUAAAUUUGACUGCGAAGCAGUAUGGUGUUAUGCGUUACGCCCCCUUUCUGCGUCAUCUCGAGUUGCCGGUCAGGUAUGUGUUGGUUAUGUUGGUUGAGGGUUGGUAGUGUGCUGUGUCUUAUUAGUAUUUUCCUUGCCUAGAGUUGUUAUUUGGACACACCUUGCGACUGGAGCUUGGUUGACGUGUUCCCUCUCGACAGUUUGAAGUGAGUCUGCGGGAGACUUUAACAGUGCCGACCGUUGCCAGAUGUUACCCGGUGCCGUUGUGUGCUGUGAGAUCUCUUUAUUUAAGUGAGCCCACGGGUGCACAGAGUGCUGUGUAUGUGAUUUGUGGGGAGAUCGCACACAUACGAUCGUGUUGUCUCGUAUCAGCGGCUCCUGUUUCCCUGUACACAUGAAUCCCAGAUUGACAGAACGAGCCUGCAGCUUUCAGCCUUAUCCUUGAAUUUAUCUGUGCUUCCGGAUCGCUCAUUCAACCGGUACGUGUUUUUAAAGCGUAAUACACAUUUUGCAUGUACACUGUUUAAUGUGUUACUAUUUUUAACUUCAUUACAGACUUGUUGCGUCUAUGGGCGAUUAAUAUUCGUACAGUCAGGGCUUCGUGGGAAGUAUCGUCCAGAGGCGCUGUUGCUUUGCCUGUAAUUUAGUGUGUGUGUGUGUGCGUGCGUGUGUGGUUGAAGCUUAUUGAAUGUGAUUGUGUUUCUUUAAGUUUUUGUUGCUUUUUCCUUUACUGUUAGAUUCGAGUGCUAAAGGUUUUUGUUUCUUUUUGUUUAAUAUUCUUUGAUUUAUUUUUGUAUUUUCUUAAACUCUAAUGUAUUGACUUAUUUUGUUUGUAGAAGAGGGAUAUUAAUAUCCCUCUUUUCCUUUUUGUUUUUGGUUUAUUUUGAUUUAAUUGAUGUGCUUAUGUGUAAAGGGCACAGUGAGAAGUUAAAGGUGCCCCCCUCAUCCUCUGUGUUGACACAUAGUGUGUUGUGAUCCUACCAGUGACUUUGUGACCAUUCUUAAGUGUAAU